rnacentral:rRNA from 1 species
UACGGAGGGGGCUAGCGUUGUUCGGAAUUACUGGGCGUAAAGCGCACGUAGGCGGCUUUGUAAGUUAGAGGUGAAAGCCCAGGGCUUAACCCUGGAAUUGCCUUUAAGACUGCAUCGCUAGAAUCGUGGAGAGGUGAGUGGAAUUCCGAGUGUAGAGGUGAAAUUCGUAGAUAUUCGGAAGAACACCAGUGGCGAAGGCGGGUCUCUGGACAGUUCCUGACACUGAGGCACGAAGGCCAGGGGAGCAAACGGG